rnacentral:rRNA from 1 species
GACGAACGCUGGCGGCGUGCUUAACACAUGCAAGUCGAACGGAAAGGCCCUGCUCUUGUGGGGUGCUCGAUUGGCGAACGGGUGAGUAACACGCGAGUAACCUCCCCUUGUAUUUGGGAUAACUUCAGGAAACUGGGGCUCAUACCGGAUAGGAGCUCCUGCUGCAUGGUGGGGGUUGGAAAGUUUCGGCGGUUGGGGAUGGACUCGCGGCUUAUCAGCUUGUUGGUCGGGUAGUGGCUUACCAAGGGUUUGAGGGGUAGCCGGCCUGAGCGGGUGGACGGCGACAAGAGGACUGAGAGACGGCGCAGACUCCAACGGUAGGCAGCAGUGGAGAAUAUGACGGAGUGAGCGGAAGUCUGAUACAGCGGCGCUCGGUGCGUAAUAACGGGCUUCUGGUGAAGAACCGAUGUCGACGGAAACGAAGAGGGAGUGACGGUAAUUAAUAAAGAAGCAACGGCUAACUACGUG